CCUACGGGAGGCAGCAGUGGGGAAUAUUGGGCAAUGGAGGAAACUCUGACCCAGCGACGCCGCGUGCGGGAUGAAGGCCUUCGGGUUGUAAACCGCUUUCAGCAGGGAAGAAGCGAAAGUGACGGUACCUGCAGAAGAAGCACCGGCUAACUAUGUGCCAGCAGCCGCGGUAAUACAUAGGGUGCAAGCGUUGUCCGGAAUUAUUGGGCGUAAAGAGCUCGUAGGUGGUUCGUCACGUCGGAUGUGAAAAUCUGGGGCUUAACCCCAGACCUGCAUUCGAUACGGGCGAGCUUGAGUAUGGUAGGGGAGUCUGGAAUUCCUGGUGUAGCGGUGGAAUGCGCAGAUAUCAGGAGGAACACCAAUGGCGAAGGCAGGACUCUGGGCCAUUACUGACACUGAGGAGCGAAAGCGUGGGGAGCGAACAGGAUUAGAUACCCUGGUAGUCCACGCCGUAAACGGUGGGCACUAGUUGUGGGGACCUUCCACGGUCUCUGCGACGCAGCUAACGCAUUAAGUGCCCCGCUGGGGNGACGANGCAGAUAAACUACAANAGAUAGAGCGNGAGAGUGCGACGACGACGACGAGGGAGAGG
rnacentral:rRNA from 1 species